rnacentral:rRNA from 1 species
CCCAGACUCCUACGGGAGGCAGCAGUCGGGAAUAUUGCGCAAUGGAGGAAACUCUGACGCAGUGACGCCGCGUGCAGGAAGAAGGUUUUCGGAUUGUAAACUGCUUUAGACAGGGAAGAUACAAGACAGUACCUGUAAAAUAAGCUCCGGCUAACUACGUGCCAGCAGCCGCGGUAAUACGUAGGGAGCAAGCGUUAUCCGGAUUUAUUGGGUGUAAAGGGUGCGUAGACGGGAAGGCAAGUUGGUUGUGAAAUCCCUCGGCUUAACUGAGGAACUGCAACCAAAACUAUCUUUCUUGAGUGCUGGAGAGGAACGUGGAAUUCCUAGUGUAGCGGUGAAAUGCGUAGAUAUUAGGAGGAACACCAGUGGCGAAGGCGGCCUGCUGGACGAUGACUGACGUUGAGGCUCGAAAGCGUGGGGAGCAAACAGGAUUAGAUACCCGAGUA